GGAAUCUUGGGCAAUGGGCGCAAGCCUGACCCAGCCACGCCGCGUGGAGGAAGACACCCCUAUGGGGCGUAAACUCCUUUUAUAGGGGAAGAAGGCCAUCCUCCGGAUGGAUUGACGGUACCCUAUGAAUAAGCACCGGCUAACUCCGUGCCAGCAGCCGCGGUAAUACGGAGGGUGCAAGCGUUGUCCGGAUUCACUGGGUGUAAAGGGUGUGUAGGCGGGGCGGUAAGUCAGAGGUGAAAGCCCACGGCCCAACCGUGGAAUUGCCUUUGAAACUGCCGUUCUUGAGUCUCGGAGAGGUCGCUGGAAUUCGUGGUGUAGCGGUGAAAUGCGUAGAUAUCACGAGGAACAUCAGAGGCGUAGGCGGGCGACUGGACGAGUACUGACGCUGAGGCACGAAAGCGUGGGGAGCAAAC
rnacentral:rRNA from 1 species